AGCAGUCGCCGCGGUAAUACGUAUGUCACGAGCGUUAUCCGGAUUUAUUGGGCGUAAAGCGAGCGCAGGCGGUUAGAUAAGUCUGAAGUUAAAGGCUGUGGCUUAGCCAUAGUACGCUUUGGAAACUGUUUAACUUGAGUGCAAGAGGGGAGAGUGGAAUUCCAUGUGUAGCGGUGAAAUGCGUAGAUAUAUGGAGGAACACCGGUGGCGAAAGCGGCUCUCUGGCUUGUAACUGACGCUGAGGCUCGAAAGCGUGGGGCGCAAACAGGAUUAGAUACCCCCGUAGUCCCUGUCUCUUAUACA
rnacentral:rRNA from 1 species